rnacentral:lncRNA from 1 species
GACAUCCUGAUGCGUGGUCUUCAAUGUUGGACAAAAGAUCUACUUUUCCUUUUUGUCUGUGACAGAUAUCUCAGUCAACAUCACCUGUUUCUGUACCUUCUUCCAUUUAUGAUGCUCAAGUGUUAUCGUUGGGUAAUGGACAACAGGAACACAAGAAGGUGGACAGAUGGCUCCUAG